UAAACCAAUAAACUUCUCAGAAAAAAAUCCAUUGCAAAGUUUUGUUUCAUUCUUCCCUAAGCCCCCAUCGUCCCCCGACCGCCUCAAUCUCUGUCUCUGGAUCAAAGCCCUUUGCUCUGUCGCUGUCUCGGUUGACGGCUGAACAAGCGAAGGUUCCUUCCUCACCGGUGGAAUAGUUUUCCGUGUUGGAAUUGGAGUCUUUCUCAGACAGGAUCGAAUUGGAUUGGGAUUCGCCCAAUUUCUGUUCGUUGCUCUCAAAAUUAGGGUUUAAAGAGGAAAGGAAAAAUAACCGCCUAAUGGCUCCGGGGCGUAAAAGAGGAGCGAGCAAGGGUAACGCCAAGGGGCAGUUGAUCCUCGGUGAUCUCGUUCUUGCCAAAGUCAAAGGCUUCCCUGCUUGGCCUGCUAAGAUCAGCCGGCCUGAAGAGUGGGAUCGUGCGCCAGAUCCAAAGAAGUACUUUGUUAAGUUCUUUGGAACUCAGGAAAUAGCUUUUGUUGCACCGCCUGAUAUCCAAGCCUUCACUAAUGAGGCGAAGAACAAACUAAUAGCAAGAUGUCAAGGUAAAACACUCAAGUAUUUUGCCCAAGCUGUAAAGGAAAUAUGCACCGCUUUUGAGGACUUGCAGAACCGCAGUUCAGACGUUUCGGGCAUUGGGGAUCCUCUGGAUGCUGCAGAGCCUGAUUUGACAAAGUCUGAGAUUGCGGAUGGAACAUGUCAUAUAGUCACUGAUACUGAUGGAACCGAAAAUUUUUAUUCUAUGGCGGAUCCUUGCUUCCCCAAAUUAGAUAAGAAUAAUGGUGAAGAGACAAAUGCUGAGACCGUGAAGAAGGAUUCAUCCCCGGGUAGCGAGUCAUUGACGCAUGGUUCACACCACCAUAAAAUAAAGGCUGAAGAUUUUGAUAAAGGAGCUGGCGGUGAUGUUAAUGGUCAAAAGAAUCUAGCGAGAACAAAGAAGGUAGCAGGUGGCUCCGACAAAAAAGGUGAUACAAUUCACAGAGACAAAGGCAGUAACUCAGAUGUGCCUGAUGGUCGAGCUGCUAGUGUUAAAUCUGAUUCCAAAAUGUCAAAAGGUCUGUUGACAGAGAAAUCUAGUACCAAAUUUUCUGGAGGUAAGCACGAAACUUCACCUGGCGUUAAGAGUGGGGUUUCAGGCAAGAAAAGAAGGCUUGAAAGUGAACUAGGGAAGCCUGCACCAAGACUAGAUGAAAGCUCACCUGCUGCUAAAAAACCGCGAACUGAAGGUAAGAAUGGCAGCGUAAAGUGCGAAAUUGAUGAUGAAUCUGAUCCUACUGGGACUGGAUCAGAUAUUAAGCAUGAAUUUGUUUUAGGAGUAAGCGCUCGCGGAGGAAACUUACAAUAUGACAAAGAAGUAGUUGCUAGCAGACAAACAGUGGAGCAUGAUACCUCUCCUCCUUUUUCCGGGGCUCGUGGUAGAUCCGAGAAAGGUCAUCUGGAACAGAAAGACCGUUCCUCUUCUGUUGGUGACGUUAAGGUUCCAGUUUCACAGUCUCUAAAAAAACGAAGGGCCGUCUGCAUCUAUGACGAAGAUGAUGAUGAAGAUCCAAAAACCCCAUUGCAUGGAAGUCGAGCUGCUGUUCCCAAAACAUCAGAAUUGACUGAUAGUCUGAAAAGUGGCAAUGCCUCUACUAAAGCUAAGGUAUCUGCUGGACCUACCGAGAGUACUCGAGUAAGGAAAGCACCUCUGCGUAAACAUUGUGAGGAUGCUUCACGUGUAUUAACGAAAAAUGUGGAGAAUUCUGCUAAUAUCUUACCCAUAGUAAAACCCAUCAAUGAGUUGCCGCCAAAGGAUGUCAAGCAGAUCGUUGGAUCUCCUAUGCCGUCUCCUCAGCUGGGUUCUUCUAACAAGCACGUUACAGUACAGCAAAAAUCUGCAAAAUCAUCUGUAAAAGUUUCUGGUGUUGUGAUGGCAAAGAAGCUUCAGAAUGAUUCUUGUAAGGAGGCAGUUGUGAAAUCUGAUAAAGUAAGCUCUUCUCUGUCUCAAACUGAUCAGAGACACAAACCAGCUGAAGAUAGGCCAACAGUGGCUUCAAAAGCUGCUUUAAAUCUGAAGGAAGCUGGUAUUUCAAGAGACACUUCUGAAGACUUGUCUGCUGUGAUGCUUGAUGACAACCGAGAAAAUUGGAGUGCUCCAUUUAUCAGUGCGAAGACCCCAGAUGCAGCUGCAUCUAUGAAGGAUCUAAUUGCAGCAGCACAGGCCAAAAGAAAACUAGCACAUUCACAAAAUUCAGUUUUUGGGAAUUUGAACCCUAGUUUCUUAAGCAUCAGUGAUGCACAAAUGAGGAGUCAGAGCCCGUUUAUGGUUCAGAAUGCUUCAGCUUCUGCUGCCAUCGCAAUGCCUUUAGUUGUUCAAGGACAUCAACAAGAAUCUUCUCCGUCAAAUCAUGGGCAUCAGUCCUCAUCAAGAAAUCAAAAUGAGGUUGAUGAUAGUGAAGAGAGAAUACUUAGUUCAGGGCAUAAGUCAGUUGGAGGUUCACUUAGUGGUGGUACUGAGGCGGCUGUUUCCCGAGAUGCUUUUGAGGGCAUGAUAGAGACCUUAUCAAGAACAAAGGAAAGUAUUGGACGUGCAACACGCCUAGCAAUUGAUUGUGCCAAGUACGGGAUUGCUAGUGAGGUGGUGGAACUUCUCAUACGAAAGUUGGAAAUUGAACCUCACUUCCAUCGUAAAGUGGACUUGUUCUUUCUCGUUGACUCUAUCACCCAGUGUUCGCACAACCAAAAAGGUAUUGCUGGUGCUUCAUACGUUCCUACUGUGCAAGCUGCUUUGCCACGUCUUUUAAGUGCUGCUGCUCCUCCAGGGAUCGAUGCUCGUGAUAAUCGCCGUAAAUGUCUGAAGGUUCUGAAGUUGUGGCUUGAUAGGAAAAUUUUCCCUGAAUCUCUUCUGCGUCGUUAUAUUGAUGAAAUUGGAGCUUCUGGUGAUGAUGGAACCGUUGAGAUUUCCUUACGGCGUCCUUCUAGAUCUGAGCGUUCUGUAGAUGAUCCUAUUAGAGAAAUGGAAGGGAUGCAUGUUGAUGAGUAUGGAAGCAAUGCAACUAUUCAGCUUCCUGGGUUUUUCUCUUCUCAUUCCUUUGAAGAUGAUGAAGAAGAUGACGAUCUUCCAACAUCACAAAAAGCAAAAAACACAUCUUCUGGGGAACCUUUCAAUGCUUUAGAUGACUUGGAAAUACGUGAUAGUCCAAGUGAUAGACACCAGCGAGUUUUGGAGGAUGUAGAUCGUGAUCUUGAAAUGGAAGAUGUAUCUGGUGAGGGAAAAGAUGUACCACCUUCCGCUUUCUGUGAGAAUGAGACAAAGGAGCAGUCACUGGAUGUUAGUGAACCAGUUACGGACAAGUCAACUGCGGUGCCUCCUCUUUCAGAGGAUUCUCCUCCGUUACCUCACGAAUCACCUCCAUCUCCCCCUCCUCUACCUCCUUCUCCACCACCUCCGUCUCCACCUCCUCCGCCUUCAUCUCCGCCUCCGUUACUGCCACCACCACCUCCCACAGCGCAGUUCCCACCUCUUCCUUCACCCCCGUCUCAGCCUCCACCACCACCGCCUCUUACACCUCCACCUUCACCGCCACCUCCACCGCCUGCACAAUCUAUAGCUUUACCAACUCAACCAUCCAUAGCGAGCCAUCAUCAAUUACCACCUCAAUUAGGAUUUCCUCCUCCAGCAUAUCCAUUAUCGCAUCAAACAUACCCAGGAUCUAUGCAGCAAGACCGCCGUAACAUUUUCACUGGUGAUCAAAUUGUCCAAGGGCCGGGAAGUUCUUCACGUGGAAGUAAUGUGCAGCAGUCAUAUAAUUUUAAUCCUGAAGCUUCUUCACAGAACCAACGGUUUCAGCCGAACCCCACUCUCUCCCAAAGACCUAUGGUUAGGAAUCUGCCUUUAGCACCGUCCAGUCAUUUUCCGUAUCCAAGCCAUGUUCAAUCUCAAUCCCCGCAUACCUACACUCAUCCUUACUCGUUCCCACCUCAACGUGAUGAUGGACGGCGAUAUAGAGAUGAGGAACCAUGGCGGAUGUCUUCAAGUGGGCGUGGUGCAGAAAACCAGAGUGGUGCCUGGAUACGUGGAAGACAUUCACAUCCAGGCCUUCCUAGAGUCACAGACAAUUUCUUUCGGCCACCACCAGAACGUCCACCUUCAGUGACAAUGAGCUAUCAACCUUCUUCUACUAGUAACUUACAAGCUGUCCCGGCAAUUCCAGGUCAUGCUGCUUCCCAGAUGCUACCAUCUCGGCCAGACCUGCCUGCCGGGAAUUGUUGGCGGCCAGCUUGAAGUGAAGGUAGAAUUUCGUUAGUCUACUCCUGUUAGUAUCAAGGAUAAAGAAGCUGCUAAUGUCUCAUUAACAAGGCUAAUCCUCUAGGUUUGAGUUUCUAAAUUCUAAAGUUAAGUCAGUGUUGUCAUCAGACAGUUACAAUUAUACCGCUUUCUCUUCCAUGGAGGACUUUUUCGGAUAUAUCCACUUCCAGAGGCAUCAAAACUACUGCAGACUUUUGUCAGGAUUCUGUAUAUUGUAUUUUUCCUGACAGAUGUAUCUGGGGGGUCAAAUUCUUCACAGUAAAGUUUUUUUUAAUUGCAGGAACGAGAGGCAUGCAUUUCUAAACAGUUACAAGAAUCUCAAUAAUGCUAUUAUUUUUGCACUGCUGAUCUGAAGAAGUAUGUCGAAGACUUGUGAGUACAUAUUCGAGAUUUUAGAAGAUUGAAAGAAAGAGGGUUAUCUUUUGACCUUUACACUGUAUCAAAUUAUGUUGGCAACUUGGGCAAGGGUUUUGAGUUACCUGGAUGUGAGCUUAUGUGAUUCCUGGCUAGACUUAAAACAGCCAGCUAAUCCUAUUUGCGAGAAAAUAUCUUCUUGUGGCGCGACAGACUUUUGAUACAAAAUCGAAUCCAACCGUCGUCCGUGUUGGAAGAUACAAGGCGGCUCUGAUGAGAAUGUGCAAAAGCUUGAUGGUGUUUUUUCAAGUUCUGAGAUUGGUUCGAGAGCUGAGAAGAUCUUCAGGCUUAAGACGAUUGUAAUCUCCUCUUCGUCACUGAUAAUCAUCAAUGAGGAGUCUACCUUGUUGAGACUCUUGAGCAUUGAGAAAGUAAGAUAAGCCCAAAUCAUUCUCCAGAAACUAAAUGUUUGUAUAUUAUACCAGAAAAUGUUUGCUUAAACAAACUUAAUCAAUAUGUAUGUCGACAGAGUUCAUUAUCAAUCAUCUGAUCUUGUAGCAGAGAGA